CCAAAUGGAAAUAGUACCACACGAAUUCCCUCUUGUAACUCCCAUAAAAGUCAUCAAGAAUUCGAACCGCUAAAUGCUGAUAGUGGCUUUGGCGAAGCAUCUGAAAACUUAAGAGAUUCAAAUGAGGAAAUUAUUAAAAAAGAACUACUUUUCUUAUGUUGUGGCUUUCUUGAAAGCUGCGGUUGUAAGGAGAGCAGUUCUGUUUUAAAAAAUGAAAUAUUUACUAAAAGGCUUUUUGGGACAAUGGAAGGUUUUGAGAGAAGUGAAGCUAGCGAGGGAAUAGUAGUCGAAUAUAAAGAUUUGGCUAUACUCCAUCCACACGUGAAACCGGACAGGCUAUUAGCGAUGUGCCAAUCAUUUCAACGCAUACUUCAAGAAUUUAGCCCUA